UUUUUGAUGAGGUUGCUGACCCUUUCGUGGCAGAGGCUCGGGCUUGCGAGAGAGCGUUGAUUUUUGCGCAUACGAUGGGUCUCCAACGGCUGGUGGUGGAAGGGGAUGCCUUGCCGGUCAUUAAAUCCAUUAGAAACAGAGAGGUGGGUAAAUCGAUUAUUAGAUCGAUCGUUCAUCACAUACAACAGCUAGAUAGGAGUUUUAAAGAGGUUACUUACACAUUUGUGCCUCGGGAAGGAAAUGAAGCGGCGCAUGCUCUUGCCAUUGAAGGAAGGAGGAGAGGGGUUUGUUGGAGAUGGGAUACUGAUGUUCCAAACUUGGUUCUGAAGGCGGUGAGGAAGGACUGGGCUGCGUGGGUACGGAAGUCUUAAGGUUGUUGUUGAAGUAGCUUUGAACUUUGGAGAAGGUUCGGUUGAAUCUCCAAGUAGCUGUUCAUAGUUCUGGUGUUUCCUUUCUGUGGGCUUGAUGAAGAAUACUGUGGGAAGCACGUUGACUGAUUUGGGGUUAUGGAAGAGUCACUGCAGAUGUUUGUUUGGUGUUUCUUUUCUUAAGUGAACUACCUGUUUUG
rnacentral:lncRNA from 1 species